ACUUUACUUUCACUGCAGGGAAGUCCAGCAUUUCCUGGUAACUUUGUCUCAGAGUUUUGGGGGUCUUGAGGCUGGUUUUGAGUUUAUUUAUUUAUUAGAAUUCACCUUUUUUUUUUUUUUUUUUUUAAGCCCUUCAGGUGGAAGAAGAUCUUUCCCCUGCUUUCUGCUAGCCGGCCGGAGCAGGCAAUUAGCAUCCCCACUGCCACCACGGCCACCGAGAAGCGGCGAGGACCAGAGGCUCUGCCGCAGGAACCCGCCAGAACAGAAGCCCGCUGGGGCGCCGGUUUGGUCACCUGUGUACUGGAGCAACAUAGCUAAGUUGUGGGUUGACUUGCACUUGCAUCACUACCCUGAACUUAAUUGUGUCUGCAGUCAUCUGGAACUGACUACAUGCCAGGACUGAUAAAAGAUGCCGUGCAAACAUGGAUCUCUCGGGCCGUGGCAAGAUGCUUUUGCAGUAUCCUGUCUCUCUAUUGCCUGGACCUCUGGAAGACAGAAGAGUGGGAAUCAACAGUGAUGGUUUUCCUGCAAAUGCAAUUUGAGAACUACUUUGACAGCCGAUAGAAAAAGAACUACCUUGCAGUGUGACCACAGCAAGUGCAUGUUCUUUCUGACAGUGUAUAAUUGCACUGUGUCCCUGGUGAGGAAUGAUGCCAGAAUCGCCAUCUGAUUAUCUGUAUUCUUUUCUCAUAGUUGUUUUAACCAAGUUGUUUCUUUUCCACAAAUGUUCAUGCAAAAAAUGCAAAGAUUCUCCAUGUAGAAUAAGUAGGCCUAUAAAGUAAGGAAUGGCUGGUAUGGAACAAACGGAAAAUUAGAUCUUUCAGCAAUUUUGCUCUUGUAAUUAAGGCCUGUCUGUGGCAGUUCUGAUGCGGGAUACACUUAGUGAGGCUUAUGAGAAUUUUCCCUGUGUGAAGACUGCAGGAUUUAGCCCUAGCAAAUAAUAACGUUCUAACAAUGGUAGCCGUUGGGCUAUAGGUGAGUUUUCUUUGGAGAGGAAAAAAAAGAGGGAGAAGAAGAAAACUUGUCAAAAGUUUGAUGCCAUCUUUCAGUAUUAAGUGACAGAUAAACAGAGGGAAAAAACAAAAGGUGAACUAAAUCACGGUAUGGAUGGAUACAUGCUUUCUGUUAUUGAAUAAACAAAAUUCAGUGAUGUAUAUUAUUCCGUGU
rnacentral:lncRNA from 1 species